AUGGAAGAAAAAGAACAUGCUUACCUGAUACAAUCUUCCUAUAGUGAAAUUAUCAUUUCCUGCUUAUGGUAUCGUAAGCAAGUUCUGCAAGUCUCGAAUGAGAAAACAUGCAU
rfam:Triticum aestivum genome assembly, contig: Triticum_aestivum_CS42_TGACv1_scaffold_327852_4BS